UGGCCUCAUCAUACUUCUGAACCCUGUAAUGCAACUCCCCAAGAUUUAUAUAUCCCUUUGCCUCCCCUUGACAGUGGCCUAUCCUAUGACAAAUAAGAAUAUCUUUCUCAAUAUGUUCUCGUGCUUUAUUCCAUUUUCUUAGCUCAGUGUAGACGUUUCCAAGGUUAUGAUGGAGCCUGCUGCGGCCGUCAUCAUCCUCACAUACUUCUUCUUCUUCACAGAUUUUAGACGUUUCCAAGGUUAUGAUGGAGCCUGCUGCGCCCGUCAUCAUCCUCACUUACUUCUUCUUCAUCACAGAUUUCUAAUCCUUCACUGAGAACUUUUUCAGCUUCCUCCAAGUUAUCAAGAUCAACUUCAAGCAUACCAAUGUUGUU
rnacentral:lncRNA from 1 species